UGUACAGAAGGAAAGUUUGGAAGAGAGUAAUGCGAAAAGGAGAAUCAUGACUAGCUUGGAUCGAAUUUCUGUUUUGACAGAAGAUGAAGACGUUUUACGACCCGGUACUGCGUUGCAUGCAGUGGACUGUGCCCGAGACGAUUCCCACAGCGCCGGCGAAUAGUCAGCUUGUAAAAAUGGAAUCUGAAUGCUCACAAGAAGGACAAAACCAGUAUGAAAAUUAACACAGAGAAAUUGUGCCAGAAAAGUUUGAAGUGUCUAUGGGAAUGAUCAUCAUUGAACUUUCUGAGCCUUUCUACUUAAAGUGAAUCCGUUCGUGACAUGACCAGUUAUUUGACUACCCUCUAACAUAACGCCAUCUUUUAUUUAUUUAUUAUUGUGAAUUUCAUGGGAUAUAAGUGAGGAAGUGAUUCAAGCAGACACUUGAGAAAUUUCGAAUCUAACUUAAUUAGGAUCUUUGGCAUAUUCGGGGAAAAUAGCAUGUGUUGAUUUUAUGGGAUCUUCUUAUUAAUAUAGUUGUGUAGUGGAUAUUUUGUACUUAAUACAUGUGUUUGUCACUCUAGUCUAGUCAUUAACUUUGUACGGUAAAUGUACAUGGGCAACUGGAAGUUCACUGUAACUGUAUAUCCCGUUGAGGUUUCAAUGACCUCUUCCAAUGUCAUUAAGUCAAAUGCCAUAUUUUAAAAAAGAAACAGUUUGUUUUAUUACAAAAAAAUGUCGAUCAGUGAGAAUACUUUGAAAAAAUGUGCUUACAUUGUACAUAUAUAAGUGUAUAUGUAAUAUUUGUUUAAAAACACAUUGUAAAAGAAACUAUUUUUUUAAUUUUGAAAAUAUAGAUUUGAUCUAUGAUAAAUUUUGAUGUUAUCAUUAUUUCAGUUUUCAUUGUAUCUUCCUGGGAUUUCUUAGAUUUCCAUGGAAUUCCAUAGAUUUCCAAAUAUCCUUGUGCACAAAUAUGUUGGGCCAACAUUGGGCCAACAUAAGAAUUAUCAUUGUUUGACAUUGGGCCAACGUAGCGCCUACAUGUAGGAGCACAAAUACGUUGGGCCUACAUUGGGCCAACAUCAGAAUUAUCAUUGUAUGACAUUGGGCCAACGUAGCGCCAACAUGUCGGUGCAACGUUGCACCGAUGAGCAAAAUUACAUUGGCCCAAUAUAAAUUUUCCGACAUUGGGCCAACCUAACUGACAACAGUGGCCCAACGUUGGACCAACGUCAGAAUUAUCGUUCUAUGACAUUGGGCCAACGUUGCGCCAACAUGUCGGCGCAACGUUGCGCCGAUGAGCAAAAUUACAUUGGCCCAAUAUCAUUUUCCGACAUUGGACCAACGUAACUUACAACGGUGGCCCAACAUUGGGCCAACGUAAGCUUGCUA